rnacentral:rRNA from 1 species
UGGAAGUAAAAGUCGUAACAAGGUCUCCGUUGGUGAACCAGCGGAGGGAUCAUUACCGAGUUUACAACUCCCAAACCCAAUGUGAACCAUACCAAACUGUUGCCUCGGCGGGGUCACGCCCCGGGUGCGUCGCAGCCCCGGAACCAGGCGCCCGCCGGAGGGACCAACCAAACUCUUUCUGUAGUCCCCUCGCGGACGUUAUUUCUUACAGCUCUGAGCAAAAAUUCAAAAUGAAUCAAAACUUUCAACAACGGAUCUCUUGGUUCUGGCAUCGAUGAAGAACGCAGCGAAAUGCGAUAAGUAAUGUGAAUUGCAGAAUUCAGUGAAUCAUCGAAUCUUUGAACGCACAUUGCGCCCGCCAGUAUUCUGGCGGGCAUGCCUGUCCGAGCGUCAUUUCAACCCUCGAACCCCUCCGGGGGUCCGGCGUUGGGGAUCGGGAACCCCUAAGACGGGAUCCCGGCCCCGAAAUACAGUGGCGGUCUCGCCGCAGCCUCUCAUGCGCAGUAGUUUGCACAACUCGCACCGGGAGCGCGGCGCGUCCACGUCCGUAAAACACCCAACUUCUGAAAUGUUGACCUCGGAUCAGGUAGGAAUACCCGCUGAACUUAAGCAUAUCAAUAAGCGGAGGA